CACGUAGGGCGCGAGCGUUGUCCGGAAUUAUUGGGCGUAAAGAGCUCGUAGGCGGUUUGUCGCGUCGUCCGUGAAAACUUGGGGCUCAACCCCAAGCUUGCGGGCGAUACGGGCAGACUUGAGUACUGCAGGGGAGACUGGAAUUCCUGGUGUAGCGGUGAAAUGCGCAGAUAUCAGGAGGAACACCGGUGGCGAAGGCGGGUCUCUGGGCAGUAACUGACGCUGAGGAGCGAAAGCGUGGGUAGCAAACAGG
rnacentral:rRNA from 1 species